rnacentral:rRNA from 1 species
AGGUAAGCUACUAAGAGCGAAUGGUGGAUGCCUUGACUGGUAAAGGCGAUGAAGGACGUACUAGACUGCGAUAAGCUAGGUGGAGCUGUCAAGAAGCUUUGAUGCCUAGAUUUCCGAAUGGGGCAACCCAAUGUAUAGAGAUAUACAUUACCAUAAUGGAGCGAACGAGGGGAAUUGAAACAUCUUAGUAUCCUCAGGAAAAGAAAUCAAAAGAGAUUGCGUCAGUAGCGGCGAGCGAAAGCGCAAGAGGGCAAACCCAGUGCUUGCACUGGGGGUUGUAGGACUGCAAUGUGCAAUAGGAAAGGUUAGCAGAACACUCUGGAAAGUGUAGCCAUAGAGGGUGAUAGUCCCGUAUGCGAAAACCUAACCUUAGCUAGCAGUAUCCUGAGUAGGGCGGAACACGAGAAAUUCUGUCUGAAGCUGGGUAGACCACUAUCCAACCCUAAAUACUACUACCAGAUCGAUAGCGAACAAGUACCGUGAGGGAAAGGUGAAAAGAACGGCGGUGAGCCGAGUGAAAUAGAACCUGAAACCAUUUGCUUACAAUCAUUCAGAGCACUAUGUAGCAAUACAGUGUGAUGGACUGCCUUUUGCAUAAUGAGCCUGCGAGUUGUGGUGUCUGGCGAGGUUAAGCACACGCGAAGCCGUAGCGAAAGCAAGUCUUAAUAGGGCGCUUAGUCAGAUGCUGCAGACCCGAAACGAAGUGAUCUAUCCAUGAGCAGGUUGAAGCUAGUGUAAGAACUAGUGGAGGACCGAACCCGCUAGCGUUGAAAAGCUAUGGGAUGACUUGUGGAUAGGGGUGAAAGGCCAAUCAAACUUCGUGAUAGCUGGUUCUCUCCGAAAUAUAUUUAGGUAUAGCGUUGUGUCGUAAUAUAAGGGGGUAGAGCACUGAAUGGGCUAGGGCAUACACCAAUGUACCAAACCCUAUCAAACUCCGAAUACCUUAUGUGUAAUCACAGCAGUCAGGCGGCGAGUGAUAAAAUCCGUCGUCAAGAGGGAAACAACCCAGACUACCCGCUAAGGUCCCCAAAUCUUACUUAAGUGGAAAACGAUGUGAAGUUACUUAAACAACCAGGAGGUUGGCUUAGAAGCAGCCAUCCUUUAAAGAAAGCGUAAUAGCUCACUGGUCUAGUGAUUUUGCGCGGAAAAUAUAACGGGGCUAAAGUAAGUACCGAAGCGGUAGGCUUGUGCUUA